CUCCCAUAUGCAUAUUUGACCAGUACUGCGCGCGCCCCGCGAGCAAAGGUCGCCCGGCAAAUUCUGACCCAGCCAAAUGGGAAGGUCGCGAGCCCACCAGUCAUGGAUUCUUAUACCAGCCCAAUAGGGUUGUUCUCCAUCGUCCUCGUGCCCUCCUGUAUGUACUCUCGCUUAUGUGUUCUUGGAUUCUUAUUUUCUUUCUUUUGCAGGAUCCAUAGGAUUAUUGUUUUCUCUGAAUUUGUCCUUUGGUGCAUUGUAUUUGCUUAUUCAGGUCGAUGGGGAGGAGAGGAGCAGAGAGGCUGGAGCUCCAGACGGC
rnacentral:rRNA from 1 species